rnacentral:lncRNA from 1 species
UUUCUUGGUGUCCCAGGAUCUACUGAAUGUCUCAAGAGAGGAACUGUUUCUUCCACUUCACAAGUUAUAAUUUUUGACUUGAUAAAGAAUGAUGGUCUUUUUCCUCAACGGGGGUCUGCUCCAAAUGGAAAGUUGGUUUUGAGCUCUGUGAAUCUGGUUAAGGCAUACCAAUUGGCAAGCUUUGUUUCUGGCUUGGCAAGCAGAGAUGACAGGAAGCAAGCCUUGAGUUUCCCUGGGAAUGAUGGCUCUCAUACCUCUGAGGAAAACACAUGGAUUAGGUACCUGAGUCAGUACUGUGAGGCCUCAGCAAUGACUGUCUUCAAAAGCUGGUGUUUUGGCAGGGGUCGGUGGCAGGGGGCAGGGGGAACAUUUUUCUUCCUAUUGUUGCCCUAUUAACAGUUCCAUAUCCUUAGCCUACCAUAAAAAUCGAGGGACCCUAUCAAGCUUAUGAAAUGCUGGAAAUGAUGCAUCACAGUAUCUAGGACUGAUUGAUACUGCUUGGGUCUGUCAUUUUUCACUUUGUUCCAAUGUAAACACCAUUUGUAGAGGUGCAAAAUGCAGCCCCUUACAGAGUUAUGUGUUAAAGAAUAGAAUCAUAAACAUGGGAGUAAAUUCAUUUAAAAACAAAAACAUUCACAUUUGAGAAAACUUU